rnacentral:rRNA from 1 species
UACAUGGGGUGCAAACGUUGCUCGGAAUCAUUGGGCGUAAAGCGCGCGUAGGCGGUUACUUAUGUCGGAUGUGAAAGCCCUCGGCUUAACUGAGGAAGUGCAUUCGAAACUGGGUAGCUAGAGUACUAAAGAGGGUCGCGGAAUUCCCGGUGUAGAGGUGAAAUUCGUAGAUAUCGGGAGGAACACCGGUGGCGAAGGCGGCCAUCUGGACGGAUACUGACGCUGAGACGCGAAAGCGUGGGGAGCAAACAGG